GAUGAACGCUGGCGGCGUGCUUAACACAUGCAAGUCGAACGGACUUUUAAUGAAGCCUAGCGAUUUAAAAGUUAGUGGCGGACGGGUGAGUAACGCGUGAGUAACCUGCCUCUCAGAGGGGGAUAACGUUCUGAAAAGAACGCUAAUACCGCAUAUAAUUCGAAACCGCAUGGUUUUGUAAUGAAAGGAGCAAUCCGCUGAGAGAUGGACUCGCGUCUGAUUAGCUAGAUGGUGGGGUAACGGCCUACCAUGGCGACGAUCAGUAGCCGGACUGAGAGGUUGAACGGCCACAUUGGGACUGAGACACGGCCCAGACUCCUACGGGAGGCAGCAGUGGGGGAUAUUGCGCAAUGGGGGAAACCCUGACGCAGCAAUGCCGCGUGAAGGAAGACGGUUUUCGGAUUGUAAACUUCUUUUGUAAAGGACGAUAAUGACGGUACUUUACAAAUAAGCUCCGGCUAACUAUGUG
rnacentral:rRNA from 1 species